rnacentral:lncRNA from 1 species
GAGCAGGCUUUAAAAGUAUUUCUCAGUCAUGUAAUUAUGUUUUAAUGCCAGGUUCUUAAAAUGACUUAGAAAAGAAGAAGCAGCUCUGAAAAUUUUAGGUCUGAAAUGUGUUAGAAGUAUCUGGAGCAGCAGGAGGAUGCAUCAGGAAACGGGUGACAUUUAAUAGGGCUUAAGAAUGAAAAUGAUGACUCUCCACUUUCACAUAAAUGAAACCUCUAUAUCAAAGUUGAAAUUAGAUGAUAUGAUAAAAAUUGGCAUUUACCUAGUGUAAUAUGAUGGUAUUUUCUUAUUAUGAAAUUCUUCAGUGCAAGGAAGUUACGUGCUGGUCCUGUCUCACUCCGUAUAAAACUCCUUGCACAAGGAGAUCCAAUUGAAAUUCCACGGGUGUUCACACUUUUCUUCAUUCCAUGGAGAUGUGGAACAGCCUAGUCUGAAUACUUGACCUUUAUUUCUCAGCAUGCUCUUUUUUUUUUCCCCAGGACAAAGCCUUCUGAAUUCUUAAACCUGGAAGGUGGAGGUGAGAAUUUGCUGGUGAGAUGUGGAUCAGGUAAGUUCUCAGGUUUUCUUUAUAUUUUAUAAAUCCAGACUGUGCUUUACAUAUGCUUAUAAAGGGGGAAAAAAGAGAUAGUUAAUUAGGGUAUUUAAUUGUUUCUUUAGUCCCUCCCCCACCCCAGAGAGGAAUGUGAAAGAAUGAGAAUGGUUUUGUUUUUAUCUAAUUUCUAAUUUAAAGGGGGUAGGCAGGACCAAAAGCUCCUUUGCCUCCAACUGGCACUAUUUUUUUUUUUUAGUGGUGGUGAUGGUCAUGGGGAUUGAACCCAGGACCCCGUGUAUACUAGGCAAGAACCCUAACACUGAGCUAACAUCCCCAGCCCUCUGAGUAGAAUGUUGAGGUGUCUGAGAAAAAAAAAUCAAGUUUCUUUGAGGAACCUGAAGGACUUAAGACACAGCCUGCCCCAGAGUUUCUGAUUCAGCAAGUCUGGGAUGGAGUCCAGAACUGGAAUUUCUAACCCUAAGUCUCCCUUGAAUGCUGAUACUGCAGGCUAGGACCCACCCACUGAGAACUACUGCUUUCAGGUAAGGGAUCUUCCUGGCAACCUGGAAACCUCCUGGUCUCUCUGGAGCUUGAGAUCUGAGCUCAAUGCUAGGGUUGUGCUGGAGGGUGUCUCUGUGUGUGGGUAGGGGAUAGCUGAAUGUAUUUGUCCAAGGAGCAGGCAAGAUGUUGAAAUGGAAGAAAGUUGCAUCUACCCAAAGGCUGAGAAUCAGUGCCCUUUCCUUAGAAUGCUCCAGGCUUUACUGAGCCUGCUUCAAUCUUCCAGUGGGCUUGAAGAGAAGCGGCUUGGUCAGAAUCAGGUGAGCCAACCUCCUCAGAUUAAGCCUAGGACAGUAAGGAUACACACACCCACGGUACAUUAAAAGGCUUGCUUCUUUCUGGGCACCAACUAAGCUUUCCAAAUUUUUAUGUAUGCCCAGGGAUAAGGAAGGGAGACAAAUAACUAAGAUCGAAUUUCUUGCCAAUUCAGUGGCAUUAGGGAUGGCAGUCAGAUUUAAUUUGAAGAAAGUAAUUAGAUUUUUCUUGCCUAUCCAACUUAAGAGUCAAUGCCAUACCUACGACACAACUUUCUGGCUUAUCACACACAAUCCACUUAUAUUUAUAUUUGUGAACUCAAACCCAGUUCUGCCUCUGCCACAGCUUUGUGUUCUCUUUGUUCUCUGUGAGGGUAGGCAGGGCUUAUAAACUGUGUGACCUGGAAGUGUCCUGCUGAGUGGGCACACUGGGGCUGGAACCCAGCCAGGCUGUGAGGAAAGGGUGACUUUCUAUGAUUUUUCUAAUGGUUACAGGUAACUCCUGCAUAAGAUCACACAGUAGGAGCAUGCUAUAUUUUAUUCAGACACUUUCCUCUUGACUUUCAUGUGGCUUCUACUUUUCUCUGCCAUAACUAAUAUUCUCGUACAUUUCUCCUCUAUGUGUAGAUACAUUUGAGAUAUCUGACAUUUUUCACUUGAUUUUCUUCUCACAAAAAUUCUGUCAGUUAGAUAUGCAUUUUGUUUUUUAAAUAUGCAAAGACUUCUAGGAGUGUUCAGGCCAUCACCCAAGGGUGUUAAUUAGCUGGUGCAAGUUGCUUUCCUCUAAUUUCUAGCUGAGAUAUACUAUUUUGAACAAAUGGAAGAGAAACAAGAGGAGAAUGAGUAAAGAAUUAUUAAGGUAGGGACACUUGGAGUGAUAGGGAGUGGCGGCAGGUUUGAGAUACCAAGAAACCAAAUGAUAUCAAGGCACUGAUUUCCUGAGGGUCCUGUGCAAGGAUGUUGGAGAACAGAAAAUUGUCAAGGAUUAGUUUGCAUCUCAAAAAUUAUAAUUCAGUCCAGUCCUACUUUCCACUAAGAGGAAAAGGUACGUACUUUCUUCUCCCUCUUCUACUCUCCUGUAUUGGCAGCACCUCUUGUGCCUAGGAUUCAGGGCUCUGAUUGACCAGCAUUAAGUCCCAGUCUGGGUUCAACAGGCUUUGCAGGAUCAUAUGGCAAUUUGAUGUCACUGCAGCAUUGUUCUUAUAGGAAAUAGAUUUCUCUUUUCAAACAACUGAUUUGAUUUCAGCAUGUAUUUUUCGUAUCUAUCCACUUAUCAGAAGAGCCUGCCUCUGGUUUUAAAGCUCAAAUGUGGAGGACUCUGUCUUACCUUAGUAAGCACAAUGAAAAGCCCAGCUUGAGAAGAAAUCAUUUCUAAAAAGAGAUGUUCUGUUAUGUAUUUACUGCAGUUCUUAUGUAGGGGAGGUUUGGUGUCAUUUUCAAAGAUAUCCUGUUGCAUUAUAAGGUGCCCUGUCUCCUUUUCCCCCAUAAAACAAGGCGAGCCCUUAGGGCAGCUCCUUAGAAGGUUUAAGAGACACAGCCAGUGAUCUCAGUCCACCCUGGAUGGCAGGAGGCCAAAAGAGGGGACUGGUGCCCACUGCAGGGAACUGUUAAAUUCCUGACCUAGUUUUUGAAAAUAUGAGAGGAAAAAGCAGAGACACGAAUACUAGCUGUGGCCCCGUUCAGUAAGACCUCAUUUCUCUUUUCAUUUCACUUUAGCCACAUUUGUUUGAGCAGCAGGUGAAGCGACUUUUAAAAGACUGUCAUCGCCAAGGGAAGUCAUCUGUUUUACAUUAAUUGUCCAUUAGUCUCUAAGCCUCCAUCCAUUAAAAUCCUCAGCCACUCAUUAUGAAUAUUGUGCCUGAGUCCUGCUGUCAGCCUUUCAUUGCAGAGCUGUUUUUCUGCAUCUGACUUAAUUACUCUAAGUGCCUGUUCCUUUGAGCGUACCAAUUAAUGCUAACUUUCUUUCCUUGCUAGGUUGAACAGAGAAACCAAGGUGAGGACAGUUCGGCUGCUGUUUACUCUAAUUUAUUAGAGACCUUUCUGCCACAAGCUCACACAGUGGAUACCUUAUAUCCACACUGCUGUGCUUGCCUGAGGACUUCUACAUAUGUUUUGAAUAGACUUGUUUUUCUAUAGAGAAUAUGCGCCAUAAAUUUACAAUCCACCCAUGUUAUUGUGAUGAGGGGUUUAAAUUUCAUUUGUUCCCUAUUAGUUUAGACACGCACUUUUUAAAUGUAUGUGGCAAUCUGAACAACAGCUUGGAUGAAAUUGACUUUGUUGAUAGAAAAAUUAAGCUUUCAUCCUUUCUAAUUACAGCUUGAGGGGUGGCAGUAGUACAAUAAUUUAAUUACUGUAGCUCCCUUAAUAUAACCAACUCACCUACGUUUAGCCCUGUGGCUGCUGUUGGGAAAAAAACAAAUUUAAAUAGAGGAAGAGAAAAACUCAUUAAAGUAACUAGGAGUAGCUUCUAGAAGUUUUGGAGGCAAAUGAAACUAUUAUGUAGGACUCAGAGAAACAGAUUAACAAAUUAUCCUCAAUGCUUUUAUAAAAGCGUAAGAAAACAACCAUUCAAUCAGAUUUCUUUUAAAAUUUGUACCAUGUUCUCCCUGAUCAAUACUGAAUUUUAUAUAUUUUAUUAAUAUUAAAACAGCCAAUCAAUUAAUAUAAAUUCUUUUUCAAGAUAUUCUGAUAAUAUAUCUAUUCAUUCAGAUUCUGAUUGACUAUUGACCUUAAUUGAAUUUAUUACAGAUUUUAAAACUGUUACCAUGGUUUAGUUCCAUCUUAUAACUGAGGUUGUUAAUAAAUAUCCUUGUUAGUAUAAGGUACUUAUAAGUACUUGUUGAUUUGCUUGAUUAUCUCUAAGCAAUGCUCCACUCCAGCAACUCACAUACACAAUGUAUGCAGAGGGAUUUAAAUUACAGGAUAUAAUCAAAGUUUAAGACUGAAUUUUGUCUUUCUUAUUUCUUGAGGAUUGUUAGGAAAAUAUCCAUUUUUGACAUAAACUAUUCAGACAAAAAUCAGCGACCACUGUGGGAAACACUUAAAAUAGGUGAAGUCUGUCUCUGAGGCCCUAAGCCUUUUUCGCAAGAGGGCCCUAAUUUGGCAGUACCUGCUCCUGAACUUUGUCUUCUUCUCUUACCAUCUGGGGGCCAAUCCUAUAUUUCAUAUAUAUGGCCCUGGUCAGUAACAUGCUUUUAGCAAAUCGUUAUUGAAAUUUAGGAUUGUGACCAUUUUAGAGGGUUAUCCUCUUCGCCCUCAUUAUUUUCAUCCUCAACUUUUCUGGACACAGUCUUGUACAGAACUUGGAGUGGUCCUUCCCCACCCAGAUGGUGACCUUUGUCUUCUUGAUGGGUCAGCAUCCCUGAGAGAAAUUGCUUCUGCACCAUGAGCACAAACAGUGGCUUAAUCCAUUUUUACAGAGGGAAAUUUUGUAUCACUCUUAAGUAAUCCUCUAGUUUAUUUCUUGAACACACCUUUAAUACUUCACCCCAUUGAUAGAACACUCUUAAAAAUCCUACCAGCUUUUUUUUUCCCAACAGUUCUCAGAGCUUAGAAAAUUCAAAACUACAGUCUAAAAAUUCAUUGACAGACAUUAGACAUUUUUAUUUUCAUUUUUUUAUUUUGAGAUAGAGUAUCAUUAAUUUGCUUAGGGCCUCGAUAAGUUGCUGAGGCUCCUACCGCAUUCUCCCAAACAGCUGGGAUUAUAGGCAUGCACUACUACGUCUAGCCACUUUGUUUUCUAUUUUAAUUUUUUUUUCAAAAUUUCACCUGUUUCCUAAGGGAUCCUGGGGUAAAGUGAGGAAUUUAUUUAGGUAUAAAAUGAAGCACAUAGGCAGCAUUACCCGAAGUGGUUUAUGCACAUUAAUCUUGCCAUAUUCUACUUUGUAGUCUGUGAUCAAAUAAGUUCAAGUAGCUGUGAAUAUAAUGUGCCUUUUUGAACAAUUUAUGACACCAUUUCAAAAAGCUCAGUGAGGUCCUGAACCAAAUCGGCCUGUUUAACUUGUUUUAUCCAGCAUUUCUCUAACAUAGUCAACAGAAGAGCCACUGUAUUUUUUGCAGAAAACCUAAUAACAUCUAGAAAACAAUGGGGCAGAUCGUCUCCAGGUGUCCCAGGUCUGGCAUUGUGUCAUCCUAUAGAAAAGUGUUUAUAGGCAUAUCAUUGGUGGCAAGAAUACUUUCUUGUUGCCCAUCAAUAUUGAAGCCCAGGGAGCUCAGUGCAACAAUGGAAUUCUAUUUCUGUGCCCUAAGUACAGUGAUGAGCUAUUUUUCUGAUCCUAACAUUGGGGUAUAAAGAAGUAGUACUCUCAUUAAGAUCAGGAUUGAAAGUAGAUUUCUGGAAACAGUUGAACAUAAUUUCCAUAGAGUGUUAUGGUUUGGAUCUUAAAUGUCUCUCAAAGGCUCAGAUGCUCCGAGCCUCUGGCCAUUGGAAGGUGAUGAAACUUUUAGGAGGGGAGGCCUGGUGGAAAGAUUAGUCAGGGCAUGCAUUUGAAAGAGAAUCUCUUUCUUUUUGCUUCCCAGAUACCAUGAGGUAAGCGACUUUGCUGUACCACAUGCUACCCAUCAGGAUGUUCUGACUCGCCACAGCUCCCCAAACAACAAAGCCUACAGAGUAUGGACUAAACCCCCCCCAAAUCAUGAACCAAAAUAAACCUUUUUGCCUUUAUCGUUGUUUGUCUGGGGCAUGUUGUCACAGUGACAGAAAGCUGACUUACAUAGUAUAAUACAAUUGAAUUCAAGCAUAGUUGAGUGCUGUAGUGCAAAAUAAGAUGGGGAGUUCUACAGAAAUUCCCCAAAGACCUGUAAUUCUCAUUAACAACAUGGUGCCAGCAAGUCCUAGAGUCCCGCUCAGAUUCUUUUUUUCUUUGGGGGGGGGGGCGUGGUACAGGGAUUACUAGGAAUUGAACUCAGGGACACUCGACCACUGAGCUACAUCCCCAGCCCUAUUUUGUAUUUUACUUAGAGACAGGGUCUCACUGAGUUGCUUAGGCUUAGCUCUCACUUAUGCUGAGGCUGGCUUUGAACUCCUGAGCCACUGGGAUUAUAGGCAUAUGACACCACGCUGGCCCAGCUUCUUAUUACAAUAAAUAUCUGCCCUUUUGGAUCAGUUUUAGAGAAAACUACAUGUAUCUUUGUGGAGAGCCACUCUGGAAAUACAUGUCAUUGAGUCCUGAGCAAGAGAUACUGAACAAUUAUUGCACCUGCAAUAACUUAGGCUUUACCUCCGCUGGGAUAAUGAGGUGUGGCUCCAGGUGUAGACGUUACCUGGUGGGGUUGAUUUACACUCACCUGUUCCUUUGUAAUCCUAUCCCUUGCUCCCCCUUUUUUGGAUAGAAUGUUCUAAGAAACAGCAUCCCCCAAUAAAAGCCAACCUCAGAACUUGUGCUACCUCUCUCUUGUCAGCCUUUUGUGACUUUCUCUUGUCCUCCUUGUGGGAGCCUGAGACUGGGAGCUAGGGAAGCUGUCCUGAAGCUCAUAGAAAAAGGUAUUUGGUGUCCUGUGGUCUUUUUGUGUCACCCCAAAUUCACACAAGUGACUUUGGUACAGUUGCCUGAGUUGGAUGGGGGUAGCAAUCCUCUCCUUAUUUCUUAUUGCCAUAAACAUAGCAUCAGACACCCGUCCCAUAUCACCAUGGACAAAAAACUGGUUUUAUCCCAAGUUCAAGGUUAAAUCCUGGCUGAUUUGCAUAGUCCUAUUCUUUCCAAUGAUAUGUGCAGGGAUGGGCUUAAGAGCUACUUCUGACUAACAGGCCAUACAAGAGGCGUAGAAGGUUGCAGGGGGUUGAGAGGAAAUUUUUCCUUACUUCUGAAAACAUCAAACCCAGAAGUCAUGCUCCCUUUUGGUCACUCAACAUUAAUUUUGUUUCUGGAUGUCUCACUUGGGAAAGUGACAACCAUCCUACUUCUACAAAGAGCAUGGUUUCAAAAUAGAACUGAUGCUGAGGACAGCAGAGGAGAGGACAGGAGAACCCUGGGUCGAUGGCACCACUGAACCUCUGACUGUGCAUUCAUUUCACAUAGUUUAAGCCAGUCGAUUCAGUAUUUUUGUGUCUUGAGGCCCAAAUUUCCAACUAGCAGAGGCCCCUUUUAAUGCAACUAUUCAUGGCCAUUAUUUUCACUCUCGAAUUCUUCCUGGAUGUACUCUGUGAAUGUGCAGGAAGCAGCAGAAAGCUAAACACUACAUUUCUUUGUUCACAGGCCUCCCUACUCUGGUGCCCCAGGCAUACAUGAUGGUGCUUCCCUAGCAGGACAGCAUGUCAGAACAGCUCAGGGUGAAGUCAUGGACAACAGCACAUGCCCAGGAUGCCCACCUACUGAGCAUUUAUUUGGCUGGAGGAAGAUUUUGAAAUAAAGGAAAUGUGUGAAUUUCUUUUCUCCAAAAAUUCCCUGAUCCAUUCUUCCCUUGGCAAACACUUUUAGUCAUUGCAUUUAUUUAUACAUUUAAUGUAUGCAUGAUCAUUAUUAAAUUUCUACUUCAUUGGGAACUAUUUGAA